rnacentral:lncRNA from 1 species
UAGAAAGACUUCUAUGUUUGAAAGCUUGUAAAAUUAUUUACUUAGAAUUUUUCAAAAGACUUUUAUCGCCUUAGUUUUACAUUCAAAUAGUUUAUUAAUAUGGGACCCCACAUUAUAGACAGUUUGGAAAAUAGCUAAAACGGGUGGGGAGCACCUGUGGUUUCACCCUUAACACAAUUCCAAUGUGCAAAUUGACAUGCUUUGUGACUAUUCCUCUCUUUUUAUAAGUCGUAAUCCUAGUGUAUAUGUCAUUUAGUAUACUGUGACAUAAUCUUCAUAAUCACAAAGUGUAAUGACUCUAUUGCAGUUACAUUAGCUUCACCUGGAAUCUCAAGCACUAGAGUUAUUUCUUCCUAAGCAGAGUCUGUGAAAUGACGGUCAGCGCGGGGCAUUUCACUCUUCUCCUUGCACUUCCCCUCACUCUGUGAGGGCAGACAUGGCCCCCGGGCCCCACUCGCAAAAUGCCCUUCAUCCCUCACCAAGUCCAUUCCACUGCCUUCAGUGAAAUCUUGCUGUAGAAAAAAUGAGAAGACAAGAAACACAUAAGUUUCUCAGUGUCUCAGUCCCUUUCUCAUUGCUCAAACAGCUUAGAAAAGUGGAACCACAAGCAGCGUACAGUUAUAGUUGUAGUACUCAUUAACGUGAUAUUUCAAUCAUUUUCUAAUUAUUAUUUGUGCUUGGUUGUUUUUAGGAAAGUUACUAUUCAAGUCCAAUCCAUCAUAAUGCAGAAUCCUCUGUCAGUCCCGCCGAAAGAUCAAGCUGGACAACGAGGUGCACACAGGAAGUGCUCCCGACACUGCGAGGAAGCACAGCCCCGCACAGGUGUGAUGCACGUGGAUAAGCCAGCGUGGAGCCGGGUCUUCUGCGGGUCUGGGUCUAACCUCCACAGGACACGUGAAUAUUCAACAACUACUUAAAAGGAAGUCCGGUUGCCUUGUUGGGCCAGGAACCAAGUGGGUUCCUGCUCAGGCCAGUUUCCUGCUCUUUCCACCAAACCAGUGGAAGUAAUCCAAGUAUGAACUGCACUAUUUGUGCAUUUCCAGGGCUCUGAAAGUAAUGGCUGUGCAAAGCAAUGAAAAGCACACCCCUGCAGCACUCUGCUGUAAGAUAAACGGAUGCUCCCUUCUACAAAGUACAAAAUACCACCAACUCAAAAACUUAGCACAGGACAUGCUUCUCACAGGGACUGCCUUUUCCUGGGUGGGUGGGUGGGACACAUGUCCCACUGACAAUCG